GACAACAUUUGGAAAUUGAUUUUCUAAAAAUAUGUAAUUAACACUCUACACUGCUAUUUUUUUUCUUUUUUUUCCCAAAUUUUUCUUAUAUUCAAAGCCGGUCAGCAUGCAUGUCUGAUGCAAAUAAAUGCGUAUAACAAAUAGGAUGCAACAGGAUGGUCUUUUCAUUUCAGGUUGCUUGUCCUAGACGGACUCAACCCCUGUGUUGAGCCCCCUAAGUCAAAUACACAUGAUGCAAAAAACGUUCCUACUAGGGAUCCGGCAUGAAGUUUUGUUAUACUAGAUUUAAACCUGGGUUUUUUUUCUAGACCUGGCUUUUUACCCGAGUGGACAACUUGAGCCGAGGAUGGGAGCUGCGUGCCGGUAACCAAAAGAUCCUCCGGUUUUGCAAUCCCACCUAAUCCUCGUACUAAAUUAGGAUUAUGACACUAACAGAAAGAAGUCACGACCAGCGUGCACUCCUCAAGAGGGAGAAGAGAAGGGUUUCGGCACAGUUUAUCUAUACAGUUCAAACAAUAUCAAAGCGGUAAAAAAUCAUAAUUUGCACAUUAAGCACAUAUCACAUGGAAAUAUCAGAAAAUAAAAUAAAGCCAAAAAAAUACAACAAUUUCUAAGCUCGAAUUUUAACCAUGAACCAGUGAUUCUGGGUAUCGUCCCCAGCAGAAUCGCCAGAGCUGUCACACCUCCUUUUUCCGACACCGCGAGGGCGAAAGGGUUAAGGGAGUUUUUCUAAUUAAAGGACAAUCGAAACGAGAUUAUUUAUUAAGAUUCAGAGUCUCCACUUGAGAGAUUUAUGGUGUCCCAAGUCACCGAUUUUAAUCCCGAAUCGAGGAAAAUAAUGACUAUUUUACCGUCUGCGUUCCAGAAAUCUAGAUAAGUAAUUCUAUUAACCCGGGAGAAGGUAUUAGGCAUUUUCGAGUUCCGUGGUUCUAGCAAGGUCGCUCAACUAUCAUAUGCGGCUUAAUUAUCUGAUUUUAUACAAUUGUGAACUUAUGCGCAAUUUUAACUUUUAACCGCUUUUAUUCAAAUUAUUAUUGUUAUUAUUUACA
rnacentral:lncRNA from 1 species